AAUGUUGAUACUCUUCUCUUAGUUUGAAUUUUGUAUGAAUUUUCUUUUCCAAAUAACCUUUCUAUUUUGUGGAGGUCAGUCGUAAAAGUUGGAAGGCAUUUUACCUGCAUCAGGGAGAGCAAGAUCCUGCUUCAGUGGGGACACUCUGACUCCGCAAAUCUUUCUCUUCUGAAAUUGGAUGGAGAGGUCUGUCGGCAGAAACAGCCUUUAAAAGAAAAGCGGCAGUGACUCGCCCUCUGAAGCAGAGCCAGUUUCUCAGGCUGCAGGGUGUUGGGUUGGCUGAAAGAGAACUCAUUUCAGGAGAGCAGAGGAAGUUACUAACGCUGCUCAUGAGUCAGAAGAGAGUUGGAUCGGCGGUGACUGAAGUCUUACCUUGUUACAAGUAUAUGCAGGGAAGAAGUAUGAGCUUGCAGAACAGAGGCACUUAUCCAGGCUAGAGGCACUGUGUUGGUCUGCAGAUAUGAGGAAGAAAAAGACGAAGCACAAGACUUUUGAUAGGCUACCUCCAACCACCUGAGAAACAUGGACCCACGGCUGUUAACAAUCAAGAAGGAACCCUCAAUUUUCUCUCCUGCCAAUGUUUGAGGUCAUUCUGCCACACAGAAAGUCAAAGCUACUGUGACAAUUCAGAAACAAUUACUACUUGCAAGUACUGCACAGCUGAAACCAUGAUAAGCACUAGCAAUACAAACUCUUGCAACAAUUGUGUUAGUUUAUCACAAACCCUGGC